rnacentral:misc_RNA from 1 species
GAUGAAGAACGUAGCGAAAUGCGAUAAGUAAUGUGAAUUGCAGAAUUCAGUGAAUCAUCGAAUCUUUGAACGCACAUUGCGCCCCCUGGUAUUCCGGGGGGCAUGCCUGUUCGAGCGUCAUUUCACCACUCAAGCCUCGCUUGGUAUUGGGCAACGCGGUCCGCCGCGUGCCUCAAAUCGUCCGGCUGGGUCUUCUGUCCCCUAAGCGUUGUGGAAACUAUUCGCUAAAGGGUGUUCGGGAGGCUACGCCGUAAAACAACCCCAUUUCUAAGGUUAACCUCGGAUCAGGUAGGGAUACCCGCUGAACUUAAGCAUAUCAAUAAGCGGAGGA